rnacentral:rRNA from 1 species
AUGCAGGGCGGCAACCACAUGCUCCUCGAGGAGCCCGUCCGCCUCGCCUCCGUCCUCGCCCCCGCCAAGCCCAAAGUUUUCCCAUCCCUCACUAAGAUUGUUGGGACGCUUGGGCCCAACUCGCACUCAGUCGAAGUGAUUGAAGAAUGUCUCACUGCUGGGAUGUCAGUUGCGCGGUUUGAUUUCUCUUGGAAGGAUGCUACUUAUCAUCAGGAGACCCUCGACAAUCUGAGGAAAGCGGCACAGAAUGUGAAGAAGUUAUGUCCUAUAAUGCUGGAUACAGUGGGUCCAGAAAUUCAGGUUCACAAUUCAACUGGUGGAGCAAUCGAGUUGAUAGGGGGGAAUCAUGUCACAAUAACACCAGAUCUUUCUAAAGCUCCUUCGGCUGAUAUCCUACCAAUUAAAUUUGGCGAUCUUGCAAAAGUUGUGAAGAAGGGUGAUACUCUUUUCAUUGGUCAAUAUCUUUUCACAGGAAGUGAAACAACAUCUCUAUGGCUUGAAGUUACGGAGACUUCUGGUGCAGAAGUGAUUUGUUACGUGAAGAACACAGCUACACUGUCAGGGCCCAUUUUCACUCUGCAUGUUUCACAAGUACAUAUCAGUAUGCCCACUUUGAGUGAAUAUGAUAAACAGGUCAUAUCAACGUGGGGGCUGCAAAACAGUGUUGACAUUAUAUCGCUUUCCCAUACCCGCUCUUCUGAAGAUGUCAGGGAGCUUAGAGCCUUUUUAAAAUCUCAUGAUCUUCAAGACACACAGAUAUAUGCGAAGGUUGAAAAUGCUGAGGGUUUGGAGCAUUUUGAUGAAAUUCUCCAAGAGGCGGAUGGUAUCAUCAUAUCGCGAGGAGACCUGGGAAUUGACCUCCCACCAGAGAGGGUGUUCAUGUCCCAAAAGACUGGUAUUCAUAAAUGCAACAUGGCCGGCAAACCUGUGAUCAUUACUAGAGUUGUGGACAGCAUGAUUGACAAUCUGCGCCCUACUCGCGCAGAAGCUACUGAUGUUGCAAAUGCUGUCCUAGAUGGAACUGAUGGCAUUUUGCUCGGUGCGGAGACACUUCGAGGGCAGUAUCCUGUUGACGCUGUGCGUACUGUGGGCAGAAUAUGUGCAGAAGCUGAGACCGUGUAUAACCAGUCACUUCACUUCAAGAAAGUAGUGAGGCAUGUAGGUGAACCAAUGGUCCAUGAAGAAUCUGUGGCAUCAUCAGCGGUUCGUUCUGCAAUGAAGGUAAAAGCUGCUGCAAUUGUUGUGUUCACCUUCUCGGGGAGAGCUGCUAGGUUAAUUGCUAAAUACAGGGCCCCAAUGCCAGUUUUAGCAGUUGUGUUCCCGCGUGAGGGCUCUGAUCCAUCGAAGUGGCGUUCUUAUGGCACGACACAGGCGAGGCAAUGUUUUUCUGUGAGAGGUGUCUACCCUUUGAUGGGGAGUACUGACGAUGUAUGCACUUCUUACUUGGUGAUACCAGAGCAAGUUCUGUUAUUUCCAAUGUUAAGCAUAUAUGGUGGCUGCGGAUGCUUUUUGUUUGGAGAUCUACGGUGCAACUAUCUCAGAGCUGAAACUGGUGGGCUCACCAAGGAAGAAUACGGGAUAAAACUUGCACUGAACUAUGGCCGGUCAGUAGGCAUAAUAAAGCCAUACGACAGGGUGAUUAUUUUUGAAAAGAUCGGUGAUUCCUCUGUUGUCAAGAUCAUCGAGUGCGACGAUUCUGAAAGAUGA